rnacentral:lncRNA from 1 species
AUGUCUCGGCCUACGCUGGAAAAAAGAAAAUUCCCUGGCACGGCGGGGAGCGGCGGGGUUUGGGGGUGCUGGGGCCGGCACGGGAGUCCCCACGCCCCGGCCGGUUUCAGUCAGCACCGGGAAAUCGCCGCCGCCGCCGGCUCGGCCCCGGCGCCCGGCCCGGUGCUCCGGCCCGAGAGAGACCCAGACCCCGCCCGCCGGGGCAGAGGCGGCACCGCCGGGAGCCGAAACGGCACCGCCGGGAACCGAACUGGCACCGCCGGGAACCGAACUGGCACCGCCGGUCACCGCUCGGGACCCCCGGCGGGCACCGCCGGGAACCGAACCAGCGCCCCCGGUCACCGCGCGGGCGGGGCCGGGAGCUGUGGCCCCGCCUCCAUUGGGCGGUACCGGGAGCGAUGGCCACGCCUCCAUUGGGCGGUACCGGGAGCGAUGGCCCCGCCUCCAUUGGGCGGUACCGGGAGCGAUGGCUCCGCCUCCAUUGGGCGGUACCGGGAGCGGUGGCCACGCCUCCAUUGGGCGGUACCGGGAGCGGUGGCCCCGCCUCCAUUGGGCGGUACCGGGAGCGGUGGCCACGCCUCCAUUGGGCGGUACCGGGAGCGGUGGCUCCGCCUCCAUUGGGCGGUACCGGGAGCGGUGGCCCCGCCUCCAUUGGGCGGUACCGGGAGCGGUGGCUCCGCCUCCAUUGGGCGGUACCGGGAGCGGUGGCUCCGCCUCCAUUGGGCGGUACCGGGAGCGAUGGCCCCGCCUCCAUUGGGCGGUACCGGGAGCAAUGGCCCCGCCUCCAUUGGGCGGUACCGGGAGCGAUGGCUCCGCCUCCAUUGGGCGGUACCGGGAGCGAUGGCCCCGCCUCCAUUGGGCGGUACCGGGAGCGGUGGCCCCGCCUCCAUUGGGCGGUACCGGGAGCGGUGGCCCCGCCUCCAUUGGGCGGAGCGGGGCGGGGCCGGGGCGGAGCUUCAGGGGCGGGGCCCGGCCCUGGCUCAGGUGUGCGGGACCGCAGAGCGCCUGCGCGGGGCGGGGCCGAGGUUAUUUAAGUGCCGGGAAUCGCCGCGGCCGCCAUUUGCUCACGCUGAGCGCGCUGCGGACGGGUGGGUUCUGUGCGGGCUCCGCAGCUUUGGCUUUCUCUCCCCUCUUCUACCCUUCCUUCCUUCUUUCUGCUCGUAUUCCCCUUAUUUCUCUUCUCACCUUUCCUUCUCGUCCCCUUUCGGCCUCCCCUCCCGUCCCACUCUCUACCCUUCCUUCCUUCUGUCCAUAUUUCUGUUUUUUCUCCCCUAA